UACGUAGGGUGCAAGCGUUGUCCGGAAUCAUUGGGCGUAAAGAGCUCGUAGGCGGUCUGUCGCGUCUGCUGUGAAAACCUGGGGCUUAACCCUGGGCUUGCAGUGGGUACGGGCAGACUAGAGUGCGGUAGGGGAGACUGGAAUUCCUGGUGUAGCGGUGAAAUGCGCAGAUAUCAGGAGGAACACCGGUGACGAAGGCGGGUCUCUGGGCCGUAACUGACGCUGAGGAGCGAAAGCAUGGGUAGCGAACAGG
rnacentral:rRNA from 1 species